AUUACAUAUCUUCCGAAAGGUUCUCUAAGUCAAACAGAGAUGAAAAGGGAAAUCGGUAAAAGCCGAUGCGGUCCCGCCACUGUACGUGCUCCAUGCACAAGCCAGGUACCUGCCUUUUAGGAAAUGAAGUU
rnacentral:ncRNA from 2 species